rnacentral:lncRNA from 10 species
AUCCUACGCAUGCAGCUCAGGGAUCAAGCAGCAGCUUUGUGGAUCCUCACCUGGGCUCUUCCUGGAGAACCCUGUGUUGGGUGCACAGUAUCAGGAGAUGGUAGGAUUGCAUAGGCACUUGUGGAAUGAUGGAGUGGAAUCUCAGGUGUGACUAUGAGAGGCAUCAGUGAUAAGAGUCCCCUCCCAGUGGGGCUGCGGCCAUGCUGAGCUGAGCUCUGUCUUCUCUGUGGAUUCACAGUCCCAGGCUCGUGACCACGAAGAGGACCUGGUGAGGGUCAGAGAUGGGGACUCACUGAGCCAGGUGCUUCUUCACCCACCUCACUUCAGAUGCAGUGGUUUGAGACAUAGUAACUGAAGAUAUGGACACUAAAUCCCUCCAUAUUUCUAUACAGUGAAAAAUCAAUAAUGGCUCUUGGGGCUACAGGAAAACAAUUUUAAUUGAAGAGAGAAAGAAGAAUGAGACCAGGAUGUGGCCAUGGGUGAUCUCAGCUACAGAGCAUCCUGCCCAAGAAGCCUUGGCACAGUCCACGUGAUGUCAUGCCCCAGAGUUAAAGAAACUAGUAACUCACUGCAAUUCUUGAGUUUAUAAGAUGACAGACAAAAAAGAAACAACGUGUGGAGAUGUUGAAACUCCCUCUGCUUAUGAGAUAAAAAGAACUGGCUGAAAUUGGUUGGAACCAAUGUGGCCAAAUAAAGUCUGCACAGAACAAGCUUGCUGAUGUCACAGCCUGAAUUUCAACACAAGUUUCAUACUAACUACCCCCAAAUUUGCACAUGAGACCCAUGAGGAGGUAUGAAGAGAUAACUGUGUGAGGCUGAGGACUUUCCAGACCUCCCUUUUCCUUCUACCAAUUACCUACUAACCCCAGAAUCCACCCCUAAACCUUUUCUAAUAAAAUUACUGCCUUAAAGCCAGCACAGGAAGACAGAUUUGAGCUGUACUUCUGUCUCCUUGUUGGUUGAUGUACAAUAAAAAGCUUUUAUAUUUUCUCAAAAAAAAC